rnacentral:rRNA from 1 species
UACGUAGGGGGGCAAGCGUUGUCCGGAUUUAUUGGGCGUAAAGAGCGUGUAGGCGGCUUGACAGGUCUGCUGUGAAAAACUCGAGGCUCAACCUCGAGAUGUCGGCGGAAACCGUCUGGCUAGAGUCCGGAAGAGGAGAGUGGAAUUCCUGGUGUAGCGGUGAAAUGCGCAGAUAUCAGGAAGAACACCUAUGGCGAAGGCAGCUCUCUGGGACGGUACUGACGCUGAGGAGCGAAAAGCGUGGGUAGCAAACAGG